rnacentral:rRNA from 1 species
UACGUAGGUGGCAAGCGUUAUCCGGAAUCAUUGGGCUUAAAGGGUCCGUAGGCGGUUUAAUAAGUCAGUGGUGAAAGCCCAUCGCUCAACGGUGGAACGGCCAUUGAUACUGUUAAACUUGAAUUAUUAGGAAGUAACUAGAAUAUGUAGUGUAGCGGUGAAAUGCUUAGAGAUUACAUGGAAUACCAAUUGCGAAGGCAGGUUACUACUAAUGGAUUGACGCUGAUGGACGAAAGCGUGGGUAGCGAACAGG